AACGCACAUUGCGCCCGCCAGCAUUCUGGCGGGCAUGCCUGUUCGAGCGUCAUUUCAACCCUCGAGCCCCCCUUCCCUCUCGGGGAGGGCGGGCCCGGUGUUGGGGAACGGCCCUCCUGCCCUCGCGGCUGGGGCGGCCGUCCCCGAAAUCCAGUGGCGGUCACGCCGCGGGCUCCUCUGCGUAGUAGCAACACCUCGCACUUGGGACCCGGCGCGGCCACGCCGUAAAUCAGACGAAUUUUCUGAAGGUUGACCUCGGAUCAGGUAGGAAUACCCGCUGAACUUAA
rnacentral:misc_RNA from 1 species